rnacentral:rRNA from 1 species
AGAGUUUGAUCCUGGCUCAGAUUGAACGCUGGCGGCAGGCCUAACACAUGCAAGUCGAGCGGCAGCGACAACCUUGACCCUUCGGGGGAUUUGUUGGGCGGCGAGUGGCGGACGGGUGAGUAAUACUUAGGAACAUGCCUUUGGGUGGGGGAUAACUAUUGGAAACGAUAGCUAAUACCGCAUAACGUCUACGGACCAAAGGGGGGGCUUGCUUGCGCUCUCGCACAAAGAGUGGCCUAAGCGAGAUUAGCUUGUUGGUGAGGUAAAGGCUCACCAAGGCGACGAUCUCUAGCUGUUCUGAGAGGAAGAUCAGCCACACUGGAACUGAGACACGGUCCAGACUCCUACGGGAGGCAGCAGUGGGGAAUAUUGCACAAUGGGGGAAACCCUGAUGCAGCCAUGCCGCGUGUGUGAAGAAGGCCUUCGGGUUGUAAAGCACUUUCAGUUGUGAGGAAAGGGUAGCGGUUAAUACCCGUUAUCUGUGACGUUAGCAACAGAAGAAGGACCGGCUAACUCCGUGUUAGCAGCCGCGGUAAUACGGAGGGUCCGAGCGUUAAUCGGAAUUACUGGGCGUAAAGCGCACGCAGGCGGUUUGUUAAGUUAGAUGUGAAAGCCCUGGGUUUAACUUGGGAAUAGCAUUUAAAACUGGCAGGCUAGAGUCUUGGAGAGGGGAGUGGAAUUUCAGGUGUAGCGGUGAAAUGCGUAGAGAUCUGAAGGAAUACCAGUGGCGAAGGCGGCCCCCUGGAUUGAUACUGACACUGAGGUGCGAAAGCGUGGGUAGUAAACAGGAUUAGAUAUCCUGGUAGUCCAUGCCGUAAACGAUGUCAACUAGCCGUUGGAAGAUUUGAUCUUUUAGUGGCGCAGCUAACGCAAUAAGUUGACCGCCUGGGGAGUACGGCCGCAAGGUUAAAACUCAAAUGAAUUGACGGGGGCCCGCACAAGCGGUGGAGCAUGUGGUUUAAUUCGACGCAACGCGAAGAACCUUACCUACUCUUGACAUCCUCAGAACUUAGCAGAGAUGCUUUGGUGCCUUCGGGAACUGAGUGACAGGUGCUGCAUGGCUGUCGUCAGCUCGUGUUGUGAAAUGUUGGGUUAAGUCCCGUAACGAGCGCAACCCUUGUCCUUAUUUGCCAGCACGUAAGUCGGGAACUUUAAGGAGACUGCCGGUGAUAAACCGGAGGAAGGUGGGGACGACGUCAAGUCAUCAUGGCCCUUACGGGAUGGGCUACACACGUGCUACAAUGGCAAGUACAGAGGGCAGCAAUACCGCGAGGUGGAGCGAAUCCCACAAAGCUUGUCGUAGUCCGGAUCGGAGUCUGCAACUCGACUCCGUGAAGUCGGAAUCGCUAGUAAUCGUAGAUCAGAAUGCUACGGUGAAUACGUUCCCGGGCCUUGUACACACCGCCCGUCACACCAUGGGAGUGGGUUGCAAAAGAAGUAGCUAGUCUAACCUUCGGGAGGACGGUUACCACUUUGUGAUUCAUGACUGGGGUGAAGUCGUAACAAGGUAACC